GAUGAACGCUAGCGGCGGGCUUAAUACAUGCAAGUCGUGCGGCAGCAGGCCUGUAGCAUUACAGUUUCUGGCGACCGGCAAACGGGUAAGGAACACGUACCCUACUUACCCCGAACUGGUGGCUAGCGCGGGCAAACCCGGAUUCAUACCCCGUAAUCUAAUGGAGUGGCAUCACUUUAUUAUUAACGCUCCGUCGGUUCGGGCUGGCCGUGGGGCUGAUUAGGUAGUUGGUUGAGGUAACGGCUCACCUAGCCUACGAUCAGUAACUGGUGGGAGAGCAGGACCAGUCAGAGGGGGACCGGGAAAAGGGGGAGACACAUACGGGAGGCAGUAGUAAGGAAGACUGGGGAAUGGAGGAAACUAUGACCCGGCCAAGCCGGGUGGAGGAUGAAGGCCUUCGGGAUUGUAAACUUCUGGUAUAGGGGACGAAACGUGUGUAUUGUUACGCAGUUGACGGUACCCGAGGAAUAAGCACCGGCUAACUACGUG
rnacentral:rRNA from 1 species